GCUCUCCUGCUGCCAGCCAAAAAACUGAAACCGACCCAGGACCAGGACUCACGGACAAAACUCUAGCGUUUCAAACUCAGCCCCCUUUUCUAAAACCCAGCCAACCUGUAGAGUGUCACCGUGCUAAGGAAGGCAGGGUGUUGGCGUGCUGUGUGGAGGAAAGUCGCUGUUUCUAACUCACAUAUCCGCCUUCUUGAGAGAAAAUUCCUCGUUUUAUCCGCUGCUAAACUCAACUCGUGGGAGGUAAACAGACUCAAGCGUGAAGAUGGCAAAGAUCUGUGCUUUGGUGUUAAUGACACUUGUGUCACUGGGGUUCGCGGAAGAACAAAAAAUGGAAGAAGACCCAUUUAACUUUGACUACCACCAACUGCGAGUCGGAGGCCUGAUUCUUGCUGCUGUCCUCUGUCUCAUUGGCAUCACCAUCCUGUUCAGUGGCCACUGCAGGUGCAAGUUCAACCAGGACAAGAGAGCGAGGACAGGAAGCAAUGCUCAGCAGAUGCUUUCCGACCAAGACUGACACAGUAUGGAAGUCUCCCAUGGUGAUGGCCUCAGAUGACAUGUAGCUCGCUGUCUAACAGGUCGUUCCUGCGAAUGCUAGAUGUCGGCCAGAACACCGCCGACUUCCCGAACCUGCAACCAUCAGAUAACACGGAGGAGGAGCAGCGGGAUUUGACACAUCCAACGAGAGGCUUUUGUUUUACUGUUAGAGAGCAACAGAGAGUAGUCUGUGUACGGCUGUGAGGUGUGAUGCUUUCUGCCUUGUAACUGAGCUACUGAUCUGCAGCCUGCAUCUUCACACACACACACACACACACACACACACACACACACACACACUGUGUCACUUUAAUUUCAAUUUACAGAACACGUGAUUUAGAAAUUAAAAAGGCUAUGACACAAAUAAACUGUCAUAUGAAUCUGUUUGAUUAAGCUGAAAGUGACCUCAUACAACAGUUAACAGAAACUAUUUACCAAAAAAUUCCUUAAGUGUCCACAUGCUGAAGUUCUCUUCUGCCGUCUGCUCUGUGUGUAAGGUCAAACAUUGAUGUAGAUAUUAGUCGCUUAUUGUGCCAAACCUAACGUUCUGUCAAUGCUUUCAUGUCACAUAUAUGAAAUCCACCUAUCAUGAGUGUUUAAAAUGUUGUUGAUUAAUCAUAAUUAGAAGUGAAUUCCCAUGUUUAGCUUUAUGGAGGAAAGUAGUGGAUUGUACUGUUCAGAAAUACAGAAAAACUCAUGUUUCUAUAAAAGAACCUUGAAACAAAUAAAUAUGAACUAUGGA